CUUUGGCUUCCCUCUGUAUCUUGUGUUCGCGCGCGGGUUACACAUAUGUCGCGUUGUUAAGUGCCUUUCUGAAAGCCAAUAUUGGAUUUUAAUCAACAGCCUUUAUACAGUCUCUGUCUCUCUCUCUCUAGUUAUGUGUUAACCUUAAUUAGAAAAGACAAGACGGAGAUUUAUAUAGUCUAAGUGUGGAGAAGAAACGCUAUAUAUAUCCACGUCGACCAGUCUGGAUUACAAGGAGUGCCUUAACGCUGGAAAAAUCUUAGACAUGUAUAAAACAUGUCAAUUUGAUUGUUACAGAAGAGCGGCGCAGUGAUUCAAUAGAGAAUCGAGGACAGCUUGACGGACUUGUUUUCUUGCUUCUUCCUUCCGUCUCGUGGUGCAGAUUCCUAUAUUCUUCAGUCGUGCGUGACGACUUGACUUCCUUCUCCUGCGAUGCAUGACGGGACUUAUGGACUCAGUGAAGGGAAUCAGAGCGUGUCGAAACAUCAUUAUUCAAUCCGCAUUUCUCCUCAUCUGUGUCUUACCAGGUUCUCAGCCGAUGUGCAAAUGGUCGAACGAGAACUGCAAUGAUGGCUCGGAAUGCUGCAGCCACAACUGUGAACAGGCUCAUGUGGGGACCAGCGCGCGGUGCUUACGUAGCUCGCUUAACGAGCCCUGCCACGCGGACUUCCACUGCGACGAAUACCUCAAGUGCGGCAGGCAGUUCCGGUGCUGCUCGCCAUUUUGGGGAGUUUGCACCAAAAGAAGUGACUGCUGCGAACCCGAGCACGUUUGCCGAUCCGAGAAAGGCUUUUACUAUAGACUGUGUCUAAAUCCGGCGAGGAGUUCUGGGAUAUCCCUUAAUGUACUUGCUCGAUAUCAUGCAAUAAUGACGUGCCUUGUGUUUUUUCUGUGGUGUUACCGUCUUUUUCGGUGAAAAUAGACGAUAGAGAAAAAUUAGCCAAAUACGUUCGAUCAUUUCGGUCGUUACCGUAUGCGGCUACGGAAAUAGCCGAUUACUGUUUUAACAGCUACUGGAGAGAAAAAAAAACAUGAAAGUGAAACAAAUGUUAAGUACUUUAAGUUUUGAUAUCAUACUAUUCAAGAAAUCGGGCAUUUGAUAUUCCCUGUAUAACGAGAAAAAUAGGAUUUAAGAUAUUUGACAAAACUUAUUUAUUAAUUUGAUUUUUUAAUUCAGUUCAUACACCAAAAUGUUUUUAUAAUACUCCCAAUAGACCAGUAAGUAUCAAAAUUAUUUUAAUAUUUGCUGUACAUUGAUAAUUUAAGUGAAUGCGUUUAUUCUUUUUUUAUCAUUAUUAUAAAUACUAACUUCAAAAUUUGAACCUGAAAAUAUUACAUUUAUGAUGUUUCACAUGUUAUUUAUAAGCAUCGCAUGACUUUCAUUCCCAUCAAAUCAAAUGCGCCAAUUACAGUUACAUGAUAACAAAUGCAAUAUGUAAUAACAGGAGUGUGUGCUUUGUGUCUUCUGAGAAAAAAUAAUCCGGUAUUUAAUAGCUGUAAUAAUGCAGCUCUCCCCAAUUUUUUUUCCUGGAGAGGGCUUAGCCCCCCUCAUCCCCUCCCUCCAGAAUUUAUUUUUUUUUUGGGUGGGUGGGGGCUGUGCUACGUCAUUGCAGCUUCAUGUAGGUAUUAAAUAUCUGCAAUUAUAUAUACACGUAUUUUGUUAUUUGGUUUUAUAUUGUCUUGUUAUACAGUAACUAUAUAUACAAUGCAGUUAUAUUUUGUCAAAUAAGUAAGUGUUCUGAAUAAAUUGUACCAUG